CCUACGGGGGGCAGCAGUGGGGAAUUUUGCGCAAUGCUCGUAAGAGUGACGCAGCGACGCCGCGUGAGUGACGAAGGCUUUCGGGUCGUAAAGUUCUUUCGAUAGGGAAGAAAAUGCUUAUAAGUAACUGUGCAUGCAUUGACGGUACCUGAAUAAGCAGCCCCGGCUAACUCCGUGCCAGCAGCCGCGGUAAUACGGAGGGGGCGAGCGUUGUUCGGAGUGAUUGGGCGUAAAGGGCGCGUAGGCGGUGUUGUAGGUCUUUAGUCAAAGACUUGGGCUCAACUUAAGUAAGGCAUGUGAAACUGGAAGACUAGAGUGUGAGAGAGGACUGUGGAAUUCCUGGUGUAGCGGUGAAAUGCGUAGAUAUCAGGAGGAAUACCGUUGGCGAAGGCGGCAGUCUGGCUGGAAACUGACGCUGAGGUGCGAAAGCGUGGGUAGCGAACAGGAUUAGAUACCCCUGUAGUC
rnacentral:rRNA from 1 species